rnacentral:rRNA from 1 species
UGCAGUCGACGGAAGGCCCUGCUUGCAGGGUACUCGAGUGGCGAACGGGUGAGUAACACGUGGGUGAUCUGCCCUGCACUUCGGGAUAAGCUUGGGAAACUGGGUCUAAUACCGGAUAGGAACCAUCUUUAGUGUGGUGGUUGGAAAGUUUUUUCGGUGUAGGAUGAGCUCGCGGCCUAUCAGCUUGUUGGUGGGGUAAUGGCCUACCAAGGCGGCGACGGGUAGCCGGCCUGAGAGGGUGUACGGCCACAUUGGGACUGAGAUACGGCCCAGACUCCUACGGGAGGCAGCAGUGGGGAAUAUUGCACAAUGGGCGCAAGCCUGAUGCAGCGACGCCGCGUGGGGGAUGAAGGCCUUCGGGUUGUAAACUCCUUUCGCUAGGGACGAAGCUUUUUUGUGACGGUACCUAGAUAAGAAGCACCGGCUAACUACGUGCCAGCAGCCGCGGUAAUACG